rnacentral:rRNA from 1 species
CCUACGGGAGGCGGCAGUAAGGAAUAUUGGUCAAUGGAGGCAACUCUGAACCAGCCAUGCCGCGUGCAGGAUGACGGCCCUAUGGGUUGUAAACUGCUUUUAUACAAGAGAAAACCCUGGUACGUGUACCAGGUUGAUAGUAUUGUAAGAAUAAGCAUCGGCUAACUUCGUGCCAGCAGCCGCGGUAAGACGAAGGAUGCAAGCGUUAUCCGGAUUCAUUGGGUUUAAAGGGUGCGUAGGCGGACUGAUAAGUCAGUGGUGAAAUCUCUUUGCUUAACAAAGAAACUGCCAUUGAUACUGUCGGUCUAGAGUAUAGAUGACGUUGGCGGAAUAUGACAUGUAGUGGUGAAAUACUUAGAUAUGUCAUAGAACACCGAUUGCGAAGGCAGCUAACGAAACUAUAACUGACGCUGAGGCACGAAAGUGCGGGGAUCAAACAGGAUUAGAUACCCUGGUAGUCCGCACCGUAAACGAUGAUUACUCGUUGUUGGCGAUAUGACAGUCAGCGACCAAGCGAAAGCGAUAAGUAAUCCACCUGGGGAGUACGCCGGCAACGGUGAAACUCAAAGGAAUUGACGGNGNGAGAGAGCGAGGACGACGACGAGGGAGGAGG